GAUCGUGGUUUAGGAAGAAGGCUCGCUUGAAGCCGCACACGCGUCUGGCCUCUACGGGAUCCACACGAAGUAAAAACCGAUCCAAACGCUCUAAUCUCCUCGGGGUGCUAGCUCCCUUGCAGAGAUAUGUUUUGAUGGCUGAUCUCCUCCCUUUCUUCCAACUCUUGAAUGUGCUUGGGAGGAGGAAGAAGAAGGAGGGAUCUUGAAGAAGAACCAAAGACUAAAUGCAGCCUUUUUUCUUUCCCUUGCGUUGGAUGAAGCAAAGGAGGAGGGAGGAGGCUGCCAAGCUUCUUUCUUUUCCUCUUCUUGCUUGCGGCUGAACCAAGGAAAGGGGAGAGGGAGGCGUACGGCCACAAG
rnacentral:lncRNA from 1 species